rnacentral:rRNA from 1 species
UACAGAGGUGGCAAGCGUUGUUCGGAAUUACUGGGCGUAAAGGGCGCGUAGGCGGCCCGUUAAGUCUGCGGUGAAAGCCCGGGGCUCAACCCCGGAGGGUCCGCGGAGACUGGGGGGCUGGGGGGUCGGAGAGGAGCGGGGAAUCCCGGGUGUAGCGGUGGAAUGCGUAGAGAUCCGGGGGAACACCGGUGGCGAAGGCG